UACGGAGGGAGCUAGCGUUGUUCGGAAUUACUGGGCGUAAAGCGCACGUAGGCGGCUCUGUAAGUUAGAGGUGAAAGCCCGGAGCUCAACUCCGGAACUGCCUUUAAGACUGCAUCGCUUGAAUCCAGGAGAGGUGAGUGGAAUUCCGAGUGUAGAGGUGAAAUUCGUAGAUAUUCGGAAGAACACCAGUGGCGAAGGCGGCUCACUGGACUGGUAUUGACGCUGAGGUGCGAAAGCGUGGGGAGCAAACAGG
rnacentral:rRNA from 1 species